CAGGUCCCAGGAGCCCUGGAUGAUGGGCUUGGAGGACCCCUGGGGCCAGGCUCACAUUCUUACCUCAGCUGUAGGGAGGACAGUUUGUCCCAUGGGACUCCUCUGGGACUGGCACGCGUACAACAUCCAGGGGAUGGGCUGGUCAGAUCCCAGCUGGCCUCUCAUUGGUUCAUCUUUGACAGACCCAGGCGUGGCCUGGAGGCUCUGACUCUCUGCUGGGUGGAGACAUCAAUGUGGAAGGAGCCAGGGCGGGUGGGAGUGGGAGGGGAAUGUGUGGGUGAAAGUGUAUGGGAUUGCGUUGUGCGUUUCUUCCCCUGGAGCUGGGAGGUCUGGACACCUAGCCAGUGUGUGUGUCCAGGAUCAGACCCAAGAGGAGACCCCAGAGGAAAGAAAAGCUGGUGGAGGUGCCUGGCUCGGUGGCCUAUUGAGAAAGAGCUGUCCCUGAGGAGCCUGAUGGGCGUCCUGGGGCUGGGGAAGCAGACAGAGGUCCUGAAAGGACAGUUGUCAGGGCAGCUACACAAAGGCCAUCACCAGGGUCUAGCUGGAACACAGUGGGGGAAAUCCCCCAGAGGUCUGAGAACAGUAGCCUGCAGUACUUUCUUUACCUUCUUCUAGGUCAGUGAUUGUCAAAAUGUGGUCCCUGGACCAACAGCAUCACUUGAGAAUUUAUUAAAGCUGCAGAUUAUUUGGGCCUCACUCCAGAUCUUCUGAAUCAGAACCUCGGGGGCUGGAGCCCAGUGAUUUAUAUUUUUGCAAGCUCUCCAGAUGAUUCCGAGGCACUCUCACAUUUGAAAACCAUUGCUGUGGGACAAGUGUUCCUUCUCACGAUGUCCUGUGGAAGGCAGGAUGCAAAAGUUGGCUAAGAGACGGGCCAGCUGAAUUCCCCCCCCAGCGCCUACUAAAGAGAAGCAGGGGUUGGAAAUUUAGAUGGCUUUGAGCCAGAAGUCAACUGUGAAUGUCUGAACAUUUCUUAGAGACCUCUAAUGAGGCUGGAUUCUGCUCCAAAGAAGCUGUUCCUUAGAGGUCAGUUUGAAGCUGAACUGAACACAACCACCAACAAAAAUAAAGGAGUUUGCCUAUGUGCUGGAGGGGAUUUCUCCACAGAAUAUUAAGUGUUCUUUCUAUAUGAAAACAGAAGGUCAAGGUCAUGCCAAUGUGUGGCUUAGAGAGUACAUUGUAUGUUUUGGCCCCAAAUAUCUCAUGAGAGACCAAAGUUAAUUUUGUGCCAGUCAACCUGAUCCAGUCAGAAGAAUGUUCUAGUAAUUUAUAAAUGUAUCACUCUAAAGAUAGUUGAGCCAAUGAUAGACUUUAAUUCCUCUACUUGGUUCUUAAAAGGGAACAGUGGAAUUUAAUUCCUUCCACUUAUUUCUAAACGUGGG
rnacentral:lncRNA from 1 species